GUUGAGGGCGGAAGUGUUCAUUCAGUUUGUGUUUACGUCUCAGGGGGUUAUACUACACUCCAAUAUCUGGCCUCACGAAACCGCAAAGCAGCGACAGGUCAGGUCAUACGUUCAUAAGUCGGUUUCAGAACUACGAUGCGGACGACUUCACCCAUAGUCUGUGAGAACUAGAGCGGAACCAGACUCUGUCGGGCAGAACUAGAGCAGAACCGCACACAGUUGGUCACAGCUUGAGCUGCCCAAAGUAGGUCAGAACCACACACCGACCAAAGAAAUGAGAGGAAACGUCGUAAUUACAGUGCGUGUUUAUUUCUAGAUACUGGUAUUAACGUGAUGUCCCCGAAUCUGACUCGCUGGCGAGGAAAUAAAGAAUAUAAUUGGGCAAUGUGACCUCAACAUCACAUUUGGGUUCCGGUCUCGUCCUCUGUGUCUAUUGAUUUGUCUUCGAUAAGUGUGUUUGGUCUAGAUCCAGACUUGGAAAGGUGCCUUUGUGAACUUCGAGAUGGAGCGGUUCUGGUUCAGGUUCCUUGUGAGAGGCCACUCCCACCCGCUGACCAUGUCCUGUCUGUUAGAGUCCCGGUCAGCUGGGCACAGCCCGUUGGAAGAUCCAGUACGACUUGGUUGGACCAUUUCAAUUACCUGUGAAGGCAAAGGUCAUGUUUGUGUUCUGAAGGUCAGUUGAGAUGGCGGACGAGGUCCAGGAUGUGAUGGAUCACGCUGUUGCUCUGGCCAGAAGAGCUGGAGAGAUGGUACGUUCUGCCGUGCGGGACGGAGGGAGAUGUGUGAUGACAAAGAGUUCCACCGUGGACCUGGUGACGCAGACGGACCAGAAGGUGGAACAGCUGAUCAUACAGUCAGUGAGGGAGAGGUUCCCCAAGCACCGAGUGAUUGGUGAGGAGUCGGUGGCAGCAGGUGAGUCAUGUGACCUCACUGACGCACCCACCUGGAUCAUAGACCCGAUCGACGGAACCACCAACUUCGUUCACGCGUUCCCUUUUGUGGCCAUUUCCAUCGGCGUCUGCUUCAACAAGCGGGUGGAGGUGGGCGUUGUGUACAGCUGUCUGGACGACCACAUGUACACCGCGCGGCGAGGGAAAGGGGCCUUCUGCGAUGGUCGGCCCCUGCAAGUCUCCCACCAGCAAGACAUCCAACAGUCCAUCAUCUGCACUGAGUUCGGGUCCAACCGGGAUCCUGAAGUUGUCGACAAGAUUUUCACCAGUUUACGGAAAAUUCUCUUGCUGCCAGUCCAUGGAGUCCGCGGUGCUGGCACUGCAGCGCUAAACCUGUGUCUUGUGGCGUCCGGUUCGGCUGAGGCGUAUUACGAGAUCGGCAUCCACGUGUGGGACGUGGCGGCUGGAUCACUGAUCGUCUCUGAAGCGGGAGGAGUCCUGAUGGACGUGGAGGGUGGUCCAUUGGACAUGAUGUCUCGCAGAAUCAUCGCGGCCAACAACCGAAGCAUCGCAGACACUCUGGUGAAGGAGCUGGAGACCUUCAGUCCCACCAGAGACGACGCCGCACCCUGAAGAGUUUGAACUCCACCGCCCCCUUUUUAUCCAGUGCACCAUGUUAUGAUCAGAGUAUUAAGGUCAAACAGAGAAGAGUCCCGCCAUCAGAGGGGCGUCGCCCGCCAUUCUUUCCCUUCAGUCAAAGCUCGUGGUUGGUGAAUGAAGACGCUGUAUCUCACCCCUUGAUUCGCGGCUGCUCUGACAAAGCGACUGUUUGCCGUCAUGGUAACGGCCUGCAGCCCGUCCCCUGUUCCGAAGAUGAUGAGCGAACGGCGAUUGACUUUGGAGCUGGGCGUGAGGCACUGCGUGCGCUCCGACGGCUUAUCGUCCACCACGUUCAGGCGAGCCAAAAGCCGCUCGGCCCGCUCCUUCUCGUUGGGUCCGCCCAGCGUCU